GGAUUUGGAGUUCUUUGUGGUUUUGCUCUUUGCCAAAAAAUGAUUGUGAAUCCUGUUGUGCUGGUGACAUGAAGAGCGCUGGUCAAAAAUGAUUCAGCCAGUCAAGUGCUACCAAUCAAAUACUUGUACAUGAUCUAUUAGACAUUGCAACAAGCAAGGUGUCACAAAACACUUUUAUCAUGAUGUCAGUGUGCCAUUCCAGUGUUACUGCCAUUAUUGUCUCUUCUGGAGAAGAGAAGAGGAGCUGCUUUGGAGUUACUUACAGAUUUCAUGAUCCAACAUCUCCAUUAGUGGUCUUCUCCAUGAUUCUUCUACCAGCAGAUGUCUGGAGAAGGAGGACCUUGCUUUGCUUUCUCUCUACUGGUCUGGGACUUCAUUUUUCUGAAGUUUUCUGUCUGGUUGCUAACAUGAGGUCAGUUUGUGCCAAUGUCUGCAACUGUCACUGAAUAAGAAUACAAAUUUGGGCGUGAAUGUGUUAUGACUCAAUAGAUUCAAUUUCACCCUGUUGAUGUAUUUCCUCUUCAUAUAUUUCUACAUCUAUAAAAUGUAAAAUUGGUCAAAAAAUCUACUACUAGCUGAUUAAUAAUCCUCCUAUCUUUAAGGGGAAAAUGUUCCAUUUUAGACCAAAUGUAUUAUUUAAUGGGAAAAAAAGCAAGUGAAAUAGGAUGGAGUUAUCUGCUUGAUGAAGGCAGAGUCUUCUCAUGGAUCAAAGAUGGAUGUUUUUGAUAGAUGAUUCUGGAGUGACAACUGUCAUAUGAAGAGUUUGCAUUUGAGACUGUUGCUUGGUGAAAAAGACUUUUUUAACAAGGAAAUGUUUUUCCUUUUGUCAGGUUAUUCAGUUUCAUUUCAGUGGACACUUGCAUUUGGUAAUUUACUGGUGUUUCUUCGUCUUUUUCCCUCCAUAAAUCCUGAGUGAAGUUAUAGAUCUGUCUAGUGCUAACAGCAGCUCAGCUAGCAGGGAUAUAUAGUGUUCAAGUUUGCAGAUGAAUGUCUAAAAUCAAAUGAGUCAAAAAAACCAGAUAUUUAAAUUUUAAAAUGUAUGAACAAAGAAGAGAGGUAACCUUCACAAUGAGGAAGCUUUUAGGUUUUCUGUUCCUGGAGAGGAGACUUGGG